rnacentral:lncRNA from 1 species
GCUCUAAUGUAUUUUAGUCCGUGUAUUUGAAGUGCAUCUAUAUGAUAUACUCUAUUUAAACUAUACCUCUUGGAGUCACCUCUUUUAUAUUCCUUUUGCCCGUUGGGUUGUCCAGGAGACUGAAUAUUAAUAUAUUGAUAGUAUCUUUAGGUAGGAACACAACAUGAGUAAUAACAAUAGGACUUAUUGUAUUUUUUGUAAAAUUCAAUUUUACUUGAAGUCGAAUAAUCAUAACUUGAACUAGCAAUGAUUACUCAUAUUUCAAGUAUCGCUCAAAAGGACAGAAAAAAAUAAAUACACUUCUUUAUUAUUAAAAGAAUAAUUGAUGAAACAUGAAGAAGGAUAUGUAAAUGGAAAUUAUCAAAAUACGAACUCAACCGAACUCGAAAAUUGGUAUAUUGCCCUUAUUCCUAUCAAGAAUUUGACUCAACACAGAACUCAAUAACUGGAAAUCAAUCGAAUUCGAAAAUAUUGACUCGAAUCUAACACUAUGUACUAAACGCCGAUUGGUUAAACUUGCAUUUAAAUGUGAACAAUUCCCAAUUGGUUUUAAUUAGUAGUCUAUUGAUUGAGGGAAAUUGACUAAGAAGUGAUUGAUCUCUCCUUUCUCUUUUUGGAAAGAAAAGUUGGGAGAUAACAAAAGGAUAGCAUUGUAUAUAUUCAAAUCUUAUCUUUAUGAUGAUUGAACUUCUAAUAACAUUCCGAUGUGAGAUGGAUCAAUAAUCAAAUCAAAUUGGAAAGCCCUGAUUUCAAAAUGCAAGAAUAAAUAUUACAUCAAACAACAAAGAAAAAAACUUUAACACAAAUAUAAAAUGGUAAAUGAAGCAGAAAGUUCGAUUGAAAAGAAAGUGUUGGCUUAAACCAUGCGUGAAUAAAACUUCACCUAUAAUGGCCGGAUAUUUUGUUAUGAUACAUCUGUCUGACGGCGUCUCUUCUUUUUUUAAUGGCAGAAACGUUGUUGUAUCAAUUGACUUUAGUGAGGUUUUGGGCAUCAUAGCCACAGCCGACAGCUGCUCCACAUAUAAAGAAUUUACGCCAUGAAAAUUACUUUUGUUACAACAAAUUGAAGAUUUCAAGUCUCAAAAGAUAGGCCUUGGGUCUAUCAACAAGACUUCGUACCUUUCUCAUAUGUCAUACAAAUCACAAAAGUGGCUGAGUGAAUACUGAUAUGACUUUAUUUGGAAGGAACUACGGCCUCAAGCAUGGAUUACUUUGUCUGGGGCUCGUUGAAUGUAAAAUAAAUCGAACACAUCAUGCUAUGGAUUUGCCUCCAUCAAGGAAACAAUGACCAAUAUCCCAAGGAACUACCUCGUCAACGCCUGCUCCUCCUUCCGAUCCCAGACAUAGGCCAUUAUUGAUGCUGGAGGCAGAUACAUCAAAAAAAGUUAUUUUACAACAUUCAUAUGUACAAUUUAAGACCAUUUUUAAGUAUAUUUGCCUAAAAUGUAGCUUAAAUGACAAUUUAAAGAGUUUUGAAAAAUAUGCCAAUUUUAUA